GUUAAUUUGAGAGUUCUCUCUUUCUCUUUUGGUUAGUUUGGCUAAGUUUAUCAAUAUUGCAAAGAAUUUAUCAAAGUUCUUUCAAAAAAGUAACUAUGUUUCAUUCACCUUUUGUACUUUUUUAUUAUCAGUUUUAUUGAUUUUGUCUCUGAAUCUAAGUUUUCCCUAUCUUCUACUGAUUUUGGUGUUGGUUUGUUUUUCUUUUUCUAGCAUCUUGAGAUGUAAUGUUAGAUUGGUAUCUUUCUAUUCUUUUAAUGUGUGAAUUCAAUGCUAUAAACUUUCCUCUGAGAACUAACUUUAUACUUUCCAAGAUAUUUUGAUAUGUUGUAUCAUUAUUCUCAUUUACUUCUAAGAUUAUUUUUAUUUCUCUCCUGAUUUCUUCUGAUAUCCAUUCAUCAUUCAAAAGUGUAAAAAAUAUAAAAGUAGAAAAUUAAUAUACUAUAAUGGUCAUCUUUGUACUUUAAAUAAACUUUUAAUCCUUUCUGAAAAAAUAAAAACCAAUGAUAGGAAUUUAUCAUUAAUCUAGGCCGAUUAAACUAAAUCUUUCAAGCAAUUGGUAUGUUACAGUCACCCAGAAUUAUUGUAUUGUGGUAUAUUUGAUUCUUAAUAUUGAGGAACAUUCAUUUUACAUAUGAGGAUAGACCAUUGUUUGGGGCAAAAAUAAUAUUUUCAAUCAUAUAUCUUGUUUUUGUAUGAUUCCUUAAAGCAGUCUGAAGUGAUUUUUUGUUUUUAAUAUCUCUUUUGUUUAAUUCUGUCUUGAAGUUCACUUUAUAAUGAAAAAAUAGCUAUCCUGCUCGUACCAUUUGCAUGUUAUGUUUUUUUCCAUCCUUUCAACUUCAGUCUGUGGAGGUCUUUAAGUGUGAGGUGAACAUCUUACAGACAUUAUAUUAUUAGUUCUUGCUUUAUAUUCAACCUAUGUCUUUUAUUUGAAAAGGCUAGACUAUUUACAUUCAAUGUUAUCAUAGAUGAUUUUAUUUCCUCCCAUUUUGAUUUAUUUCUAAUGUUUAAAUCAGACUUGAUUCUCUAAUUGACUAUUCUUCUAAAGUAAUUCCUCCUUAUAUUUGUUCCAUUUCUAUUUUUAUUUCUUCAUGAAUUAUUUUAUCAAGUAUGUUUUUUAGUGCAGGCUUUCUUGUUACAAAUUCUUUUUUAAAAAAAUUUAUCCUCAGUUGUGAAGCUUAAUUUUGUUAGGUAGAGCAUUUGGGGUUAGUAUCUAUAUUCUUUAAUUGGUAUAUAUUAUUUUAAGCCCUCCUGGCUUUAAUUUCAGGGUUGAGAAAUCAGCUGAAAUCCAGAUUUCGGAAAUCUAUAAGUUUGACCAGCUAUUUUUCUUUUGCACCUUUUAAAAUUAUCCAUAUUCUGUAUGUUGGGCAUUUUUAUUAUAAUGUGUCUUGGAGUGGAUCUAUUUUGAUUUUGUACAUUUGGAGUCCUAUAUGCCUCUUGUAUUUGAAUUUCCAUCUCAUUCUUAUGUUUGAAAAUCAUUCUGAUAUUACUUUAUUGAAAGACUGUACAUGUCUUUAUAUUGUGUUUCAGAGCCUUCAUCUACCCCAUGGAUCUUAAAUUGGCUUCUUGAUGUUAUCCCAGAUUUCUUGAAUAUUCUAGUAAUGGUCUCUAACAUCUUUUCUUUAUGGUUAACAUUAUUUUCAAGGUUAUAUAUUUUGUCUCCAAUGCCUGAAAACUCUGUCUUCGAAGUAGUCUAACCUACUGGUAGUGGUUCCCGUUGAAUUUUUAAUUUGGUUUUUGAGUCUUUCAUUUCGAGCAUUUUUGUUUGGUUCUUUUUUAGAAUUCUCUAUCUCUUUUUUGAAGACCUCUUUAACUUCCUACAUUUUCUCCCCAAUUUCACCCCUUACAUCUUCUUUCAGCUCAUAGAACAUUUUAAUAUGAACUUUCUAAUUUUUUUUCUCUGACAUUUUAUCCACUGUGUUAUUGAUGGAGUCAGAUAUUGAAGCAUUAUGGGCUAUUUGGGAUAGAUUUUUCCCUUUUUUUUCAUAUUGUUUGUAUGUCUGUCUAUCUAUUGGGAUAUUUAUCAUUUCUUCUUUGAAUCAAGAGACUACUUUAUGAGCUUCUUAAAGGCCUGGGUUGGGUAAAUAUCCAGAUAUUGAUACUUUAAGUCAAUAUGUGAACUCUGCAGAUUCCAAUAUUAGCACCACUUUGAGAGAUGCCACAGAACCCUAUUUAGUAUAAUUACUUCAGAACCAAGGCUUUUACUGUUAAAACUUACGAAAAAUGAAAAUCUUGACAUUAUUCUCCAGAGUUCCACAAAUCCAGGUUUAAAUUGAAGUGAAGAUCUGGAAUAGAUCAAAAAUAAAUUAUUAAAUUUAUU
rnacentral:lncRNA from 1 species